GGGUUGUGAGGUUAAGCGACUAAGCGUACACGGUGGAUGCCCUGGCAGUCAGAGGCGAUGAAGGACGUGCUAAUCUGCGAUAAGCGUCGGUAAGGUGAUAUGAACCGUUAUAACCGGCGAUUUCCGAAUGGGGAAACCCAGUGUGAUUCGUCACACUAUCAUUAACUGAAUCCAUAGGUUAAUGAGGCGAACCGGGGGAACUGAAACAUCUAAGUACCCCGAGGAAAAGAAAUCAACCGAGAUUCCCCCAGUAGCGGCGAGCGAACGGGGAGCAGCCCAGAGCCUGAAUCAGUGUGUGUGUUAGUGGAAGCGUCUGGAAAGGCGUGCGAUACAGGGUGACAGCCCCGUACACAAAAAUGCACAUACUGUGAGCUCGAUGAGUAGGGCGGGACACGUGGUAUCCUGUCUGAAUAUGGGGGGACCAUCCUCCAAGGCUAAAUACUCCUGACUGACCGAUAGUGAACCAGUACCGUGAGGGAAAGGCGAAAAGAACCCCGGCGAGGGGAGUGAAAAAGAACCUGAAACCGUGUACGUACAAGCAGUGGGAGCACGCUUAGGCGUGUGACUGCGUACCUUUUGUAUAAUGGGUCAGCGACUUAUAUUCUGUAGCAAGGUUAACCGAAUAGGGGAGCCGAAGGGAAACCGAGUCUUAACUGGGCGUUAAGUUGCAGGGUAUAGACCCGAAACCCGGUGAUCUAGCCAUGGGCAGGUUGAAGGUUGGGUAACACUAACUGGAGGACCGAACCGACUAAUGUUGAAAAAUUAGCGGAUGACUUGUGGCUGGGGGUGAAAGGCCAAUCAAACCGGGAGAUAGCUGGUUCUCCCCGAAAGCUAUUUAGGUAGCGCCUCGUGAAUUCAUCUCCGGGGGUAGAGCACUGUUUCGGCAAGGGGGUCAUCCCGACUUACCAACCCGAUGCAAACUGCGAAUACCGGAGAAUGUUAUCACGGGAGACACACGGCGGGUGCUAACGUCCGUCGUGAAGAGGGAAACAACCCAGACCGCCAGCUAAGGUCCCAAAGUCAUGGUUAAGUGGGAAACGAUGUGGGAAGGCCCAGACAGCCAGGAUGUUGGCUUAGAAGCAGCCAUCAUUUAAAGAAAGCGUAAUAGCUCACUGGUCGAGUCGGCCUGCGCGGAAGAUGUAACGGGGCUAAACCAUGCACCGAAGCUGCGGCAGCGACACUAUGUGUUGUUGGGUAGGGGAGCGUUCUGUAAGCCUGUGAAGGUGUACUGUGAGGUAUGCUGGAGGUAUCAGAAGUGCGAAUGCUGACAUAAGUAACGAUAAAGCGGGUGAAAAGCCCGCUCGCCGGAAGACCAAGGGUUCCUGUCCAACGUUAAUCGGGGCAGGGUGAGUCGACCCCUAAGGCGAGGCCGAAAGGCGUAGUCGAUGGGAAACAGGUUAAUAUUCCUGUACUUGGUGUUACUGCGAAGGGGGGACGGAGAAGGCUAUGUUGGCCGGGCGACGGUUGUCCCGGUUUAAGCGUGUAGGCUGGUUUUCCAGGCAAAUCCGGAAAAUCAAGGCUGAGGCGUGAUGACGAGGCACUACGGUGCUGAAGCAACAAAUGCCCUGCUUCCAGGAAAAGCCUCUAAGCAUCAGGUAACAUCAAAUCGUACCCCAAACCGACACAGGUGGUCAGGUAGAGAAUACCAAGGCGCUUGAGAGAACUCGGGUGAAGGAACUAGGCAAAAUGGUGCCGUAACUUCGGGAGAAGGCACGCUGAUAUGUAGGUGAAGUCCCUCGCGGAUGGAGCUGAAAUCAGUCGAAGAUACCAGCUGGCUGCAACUGUUUAUUAAAAACACAGCACUGUGCAAACACGAAAGUGGACGUAUACGGUGUGACGCCUGCCCGGUGCCGGAAGGUUAAUUGAUGGGGUCAGCGCAAGCGAAGCUCUUGAUCGAAGCCCCGGUAAACGGCGGCCGUAACUAUAACGGUCCUAAGGUAGCGAAAUUCCUUGUCGGGUAAGUUCCGACCUGCACGAAUGGCGUAAUGAUGGCCAGGCUGUCUCCACCCGAGACUCAGUGAAAUUGAACUCGCUGUGAAGAUGCAGUGUACCCGCGGCAAGACGGAAAGACCCCGUGAACCUUUACUAUAGCUUGACACUGAACAUUGAGCCUUGAUGUGUAGGAUAGGUGGGAGGCUUUGAAGUGUGGACGCCAGUCUGCAUGGAGCCGACCUUGAAAUACCACCCUUUAAUGUUUGAUGUUCUAACGUUGACCCGUAAUCCGGGUUGCGGACAGUGUCUGGUGGGUAGUUUGACUGGGGCGGUCUCCUCCUAAAGAGUAACGGAGGAGCACGAAGGUUGGCUAAUCCUGGUCGGACAUCAGGAGGUUAGUGCAAUGGCAUAAGCCAGCUUGACUGCGAGCGUGACGGCGCGAGCAGGUGCGAAAGCAGGUCAUAGUGAUCCGGUGGUUCUGAAUGGAAGGGCCAUCGCUCAACGGAUAAAAGGUACUCCGGGGAUAACAGGCUGAUACCGCCCAAGAGUUCAUAUCGACGGCGGUGUUUGGCACCUCGAUGUCGGCUCAUCACAUCCUGGGGCUGAAGUAGGUCCCAAGGGUAUGGCUGUUCGCCAUUUAAAGUGGUACGCGAGCUGGGUUUAGAACGUCGUGAGACAGUUCGGUCCCUAUCUGCCGUGGGCGCUGGAGAACUGAGGGGGGCUGCUCCUAGUACGAGAGGACCGGAGUGGACGCAUCACUGGUGUUCGGGUUGUCAUGCCAAUGGCACUGCCCGGUAGCUAAAUGCGGAAGAGAUAAGUGCUGAAAGCAUCUAAGCACGAAACUUGCCCCGAGAUGAGUUCUCCCUGACUCCUUGAGAGUCCUGAAGGAACGUUGAAGAGGACGACGUUGAUAGGCCGGGUGUGUAAGCGCAGCGAUGCGUUGAGCUAACCGGUACUAAUGAACCGUGAGGCUUAACCUUACAACGCCGAAGGUGUUU
rnacentral:rRNA from 1 species